UCCGCAUGUUAAGGAAUAAUAAUCGCGGUAACAAAGCCUGGACGCGCUGCUGUGUGUACUGUGGGGCCUGAAUAUGAUGUCUUCAGGCUCUAUUUUUUUAU
rfam:Cronobacter sakazakii ATCC BAA-894, complete genome.